GGUGAACGCUGGCGGCGUGCCUAACACAUGCAAGUCGAGCGGUACAGUUUGAAGCUUCGGUGGAGAGCUGUAUAGCGGCGGACGGGUGAGUAAAGCGUAGGAACGUGCCCCUCGGAGUUGGAUAGCCAUGGGAAACUGUGGGUAAACCGACAUAGACUCGGGAGAGUAAAGGCCGAAAGGCGCCGAGGGAGCGGUCUGCGUCCCAUCAGGUAGUUGGUAGGGUAAAGGCCUACCAAGCCGACGACGGGUAACCGGUCUGAGAGGAUGGCCGGUCACAAGGGCACUGAGAGACGGGCCCUACUCCUACGGGAGGCAGCAGUGGGGAAUUUUGGACAAUGGGCGCAAGCCUGAUCCAGCAAUGCCGCGUGCAGGAUGAAGGCCUUCGGUUGUAAACUAGCUUUGUUACGGAACGAAACGGUGAGCUCUAAUAAAGACUUGCUAAUGACGGUACCGUAAGGAAUAAAGCAACCGGCUAACUAACGUGCCAGCAGCCGCGGUAAAGAGUAAGUACA
rnacentral:rRNA from 1 species